rnacentral:rRNA from 1 species
UGAGGGAAAGGCGAAAAGAACCCCUGUGAGGGGAGUGAAAUAGAACCUGAAACCGUGUGCGUACAAGCAGUGGGAGCACUCUUGCAGUGUGACCGCGUACCUUUUGUAUAAUGGGUCAGCGACUUAUAUUCUGUAGCAAGGUUAACCGUUAGGGGAGCCGUAGGGAAACCGAGUCUUAAUAGGGCGUAUAGUUGCAGGGUAUAGACCCGAAACCGAGUGAUCUAUCCAUGAGCAGGUUGAAAGUGCCGUAACAGGCACCGGAGGACCGAACCCACUGUCGUUGAAAAGCCAGGGGAUGACUUGUGGAUAGGGGUGAAAGGCUAAUCAAACUCGGUGAUAGCUGGUUCUCCCCGAAAGCUAUUUAGGUAGCGCCUCGGACGAAUACCAUUGGGGGUAGAGCACUGUUUCGGCUAGGGGGUCAUACCGACUUACCAAACCGAUGCAAACUCCGAAUACCGAUGAGUAAUAUCCGGGAGACACACGGCGGGUGCUAACGUCCGUCGUGGAGAGGGAAACAACCCAGACCGCCAGCUAAGGCCCCAAAUUCCUAGUUAAGUGGGAAACGAAGUGGGAAGGCAUAGACAGCUAGGAGGUUGGCUUAGAAGCAGCCAUCCUUUAAAGAAAGCGUAAUAGCUCACUAGUCGAGUCGGCCCGCGCGGAAGAUGUAACGGGGCUCAAACUAGGAGCCGAAGCUGCGGAUUUGAA